rnacentral:lncRNA from 10 species
GUUUGAUCUCAGACUGCUGUGCUAGCAAUCAGCGAGACUCCGUGGGCGUAGGACCCUCCGAGCCAGGUGCGGGAUAUAAUCUCGUGGUGCGACGCUUUUUAAGCCCUUCAGAAAAGCGCAGUGUUCGGGUGGGAGUGACCCGAUUUUCCAGGUGCCGCCCGUCACCCCUUUCUUUGACUCAGAAAGGGAACUCCCUGACCCCUUGCGCUUCCCAAGUGAGGCAAUGCCUCGCCCUGCUUCGGCUCGCGCACGGUGCGCGCACCCGCUGACCUGCACCCACUGUCUGGCACUCCUUAGUGAGAUGAACCCGGUACCUCAGAUGGAAAUGCAGAAAUCACCCGUCUUCUGCGUCGCUCACGCUGGGAGCUGUAGACCGGAGCUGUUCCUAUUCGGCCAUCUUGGCUCCUCCUGUAACAAUUUCUUGAGUUCUAGGAAGUCAGCAUGAAUCGGCUUUAUGUUCCCUGCCUCCAGACCCUAUUCUCCUGCCUCACAGGGAGUGACCUCACAGAAAGAUGAAGAUCCUGAAUACCAAAGAGGGCCGCUGACAGGUCUAGGAGUACACUUCUAGCACCUAGCAGAGAGAGGCUUCACUACAUCAUGCUUCCUGACAUCUCUCCCUUUGAAGAGCAGUCAGACUCCUGCUUUGCUCUUCAGACUUAAUUUGGGGGUUUAACAGGUGAGGUUGCUGGGGGAACUCUUUUACAACAUCUCUCUGAAAGAAUCCGGGCUGCCAGUUUCAUUUGGUUUGGGUGUCAGUAGCAUGAUGGAAAGACAAAAAAACACAACUUGACAUCUGCAGAAAUGGGUUCAAAUUUUACCUGCAACUCACCAAUUCUGUGGCCUUGGUUCAGCAAUUAAACUCCCUAAAAUUCAGUUUUUUCUUUGUAAAAUGGGGUUAUGAACAGUACCUACUUCAAAAUGUGUUUGUGAAGAUUAAAAAAGUUAACAUAAAGAGUUUAGAAGAGUGUCUG